rnacentral:rRNA from 1 species
UGGUGGAAAGUUUUUCGAUUGGGGAUGGGCUCGCGGCCUAUCAGUUUGUUGGUGGGGUAAUGGCCUACCAAGGCGACGACGGGUAGCCGGCCUGAGAGGGCGACCGGCCACACUGGGACUGAGACACGGCCCAGACUCCUACGGGAGGCAGCAGUGGGGAAUAUUGCACAAUGGGGGAAACCCUGAUGCAGCGACGCAGCGUGCGGGAUGACGGCCUUCGGGUUGUAAACCGCUUUCAGUAGGGAAGAAGCCUUUGUGGUGACGGUACCUGCAGAAGAAGUACCGGCUAACUACGUGCCAGCAGCCGCGGUAAUACGUAGGGUACGAGCGUUGUCCGGAAUUAUUGGGCGUAAAGAGCUCGUAGGUGGUUGGUCACGUCUGCUGUGGAAACGCAACGCUUAACGUUGCGCGGGCAGUGGGUACGGGCUGACUAGAGUGCAGUAGGGGAGUCUGGAAUUCCUGGUGUAGCGGUGAAAUGCGCAGAUAUCAGGAGGAACACCGGUGGCGAAGGCGGGACUCUGGGCUGUAACUGACACUGAGGAGCGAAAGCAUGGGGAGCGAACAGGAUUAGAUACCCUGGUAGUCCAUGCCGUAAACGUUGGGCACUAGGUGUGGGGGGCAUUCCACGUUCUCCGCGCCGUAGCUAACGCAUUAAGUGCCCCGCCCGGGGAGUACGGUCGCAAGGCUAAAACUCAAAGGAAUUGACGGGGGCCCGCACAAGCGGCGGAGCAUGCGGAUUAAUUCGAUGCAACGCGAAGAACCUUACCAAGGCUUGACAUACACUGGACCGUUCUGGAAACAGUUCUUCUCUUUGGAGCUGGUGUACAGGUGGUGCAUGGUUGUCGUCAGCUCGUGUCGUGAGAUGUUGGGUUAAGUCCCGCAACGAGCGCAACCCUCGUUCUAUGUUGCCAGCACGUGAUGGUGGGAACUCAUAGGAGACUGCCGGGGUCAACUCGGAGGAAGGUGGGGAUGACGUCAAAUCAUCAUGCCCUUUAUGUCUUGGGCUUCACGCAUGCUACAAUGGCUGGUACAGAGAGAGGCGAACCCGUGAGGGUGAGCGAAUCCCUUAAAGCCAGUCUCAGUUCGGAUCGUAGUCUGCAAUUCGACUACGUGAAGUCGGAGUCGCUAGUAAUCGCAGAUCAGCA